UCUUUCUUCAGAGGAUAGGUCAGUGUGCAGAGCAGUAAAAGUGCAAAAAAACAGAUUGGGCUUUCCUCUGCACAUGGGGUAUGCAACUAAGGCUAAACAGGCGCUAAAGAGAUGGUUGUUUUCUUUUAAUUUGAAAAGAUAAACCAAUUUAGAGUUAUAUCAUUCUAAUGGCCAGCAAAAGGCCCCUCUGCUGGUUGCAAAGAGAAAUCAGAUUUUAAAAAGUCUGUAAGAAAUUGAGCCAACCUCUGCUAAUUCUUCACAUGCUGCCUUCUAGGAACAAUUCACAGUAAAAUAUGAAAGAAGAGGAGACAAGAAGACAAAAUGGGAGGAUAUGACUGAAAGUAGACAAGGAGAAACAGAAUACAAGACUGACUGAAUCCUCAAACAAAUUAAAAAUGAGAACGCAAAGCCACUGUUUCAUCAGAAGGCCAGCAUUGCUAAGCCUCUUCUUUAACACACACACAUACACACACUUUCUCUUUAAUGUAAUCUGGGCUUGUAAAAUGACUUCUGCUUAUGAAUCCUGUAUACAGACAGCUAUACAUAAAGAAGCCUUAUUUAUUUAAAAUGCUAUGUUGACAUAUUUUUGCAUCAAAUUUAUGGAGAGCGGCCUGUUUUAGCGAGCUCAGAUAGUGGCAAAUCAGGAUGUCAGCACUUUUUUAAUAGAAACCUAUCCCCCCCAUCAGUUAUUUGAAGAAUUUGCUGUUGUUAAAACUUGCCCAAAACACAUACUGCACAUACGAUCAAACACAGCCUCAUUUAUGCUGUGAAUCUUGUAUUUAUUUAGGCUCUUUCUUGGGGGGAUCUUUUUCUGCUCUCAGCUCUCCAUUUCUCUGGACUCUAUGAAUGAACCACUUUUGGCUCACAAAUAGACUUGCCUUGUAUCAUCUUCGACAGCAUACAUGAGCUCUUGCUUGCCCAUAUACACACUCAAAGAAGUGUGUUCGGCCCUGUAAGAGAUGCUCUUAGAGCACAGAGUAGAAAGUUGUUAGUUGUUCUCUUUACAGGGAAACUGUCAGUUGAAUAAAUCCUGUGAUGUUAUUGCAAACCCGUGUUUUUCUCUCAUGAAUGUCUAAGAGAUACCAGAACUGUUGGUGUCUUACAUGAUGUCUUUUCUAAGGCUUUUUACCUAAAAGAAGAGAGAAAGUGGAGUGUAAAAA